rnacentral:piRNA from 1 species
UGGCAUUCGAAUUUGGGCCACCUAAAC